AUGUUUCAUAAGCAUAUUGCUCAAUCUGAUGCCUGCCCACGAUGUCAAGAUCUGUGUGAAGAUGCUCUCCACCUCAUCUCCAACUGCUCCUAUGCUACACAAGUAUGGUCUCGCCUGGGCCUCCCUGCCCCGACCUCCCUCACUGGUCUCCACCAACACCCGCCAGUUCAGGGCCUCAACCCUAACAUCUGGCCAUCGGUGGCCUUGACAGUUUCCUGGAAGCUAUGGGACUCGAGAAAUGCUCUUGUGUUCAGAAACGAAGACCACCCACCCCGAGUAGCGAUAAGGAAUAUUGUAGCAGACUUCUCCCUCUGGGUCUUCCGGUUCAAAAAGACUGAAGAUAGUACCGCUGCUAGACAGUGGCUACACUUUCUCUCCGCUGCAAUCCCUUCUGUCUGA
rnacentral:rRNA from 1 species